UACGUAGGGGGCAAGCGUUGUCCGGAUUUAUUGGGCGUAAAGAGCGCGUAGGCGGCCUGUCACGUCUGCUGUGAAAACUCGAGGCUCAACCUCGAGAUGUCGGCGGAAACCGUCUGGCUAGAGUCCGGAAGAGGAGAGUGGAAUUCCUGGUGUAGCGGUGAAAUGCGCAGAUAUCAGGAAGAACACCUAUGGCGAAGGCAGCUCUCUGGGACGGUACUGACGCUGAGACGCGGAAGCGUGGGGAGCGAACAGG
rnacentral:rRNA from 1 species